rnacentral:rRNA from 2 species
CUGAAUGGAAGGGCCAUCGCUCAACGGAUAAAAGGUACUCCGGGGAUAACAGGCUGAUACCGCCCAAGAGUUCAUAUCGACGGCGGUGUUUGGCACCUCGAUGUCGGCUCAUCACAUCCUGGGGCUGAAGUAGGUCCCAAGGGUAUGGCUGUUCGCCAUUUAAAGUGGUACGCGAGCUGGGUUUAGAACGUCGUGAGACAGUUCGGUCCCUAUCUGCCGUGGGCGCUGGAGAACUGAGGGGGGCUGCUCCUAGUACGAGAGGACCGGAGUGGACGCAUCACUGGUGUUCGGGUUGUCAUGCCAAUGGCACUGCCCGGUAGCUAAAUGCGGAAGAGAUAAGUGCUGAAAGCAUCUAAGCACGAAACUUGCCCCGA